AAACUAACAUGGAUUCCCCUAGUAGCGGCGAGCGAAGCGGGAAGAGCUCAAAUUUAUAAUCUGGCACCUUCGGUGUCCGAGUUGUAAUCUCUAGAAAUGUUUUCCGCGUUGGACCGCACACAAGUCUGUUGGAAUACAGCGGCAUAGUGGUGAGACCCCCGUAUAUGGUGCGGACGCCCAGCGCUUUGUGAUACAUUUUCGAAGAGUCGAGUUGUUUGGGAAUGCAGCUCAAAUUGGGUGGUAAAUUCCAUCUAAAGCUAAAUAUUGGCGAGAGACCGAUAGCGAACAAGUACCGUGAGGGAAAGAUGAAAAGCACUUUGGAAAGAGAGUUAACAGUACGUGAAAUUGUUGGAAGGGAAACGCUUGAAGUCAGACUUGCUUGCCGAGCAAUCGGUUUGCAGGCCAGCAUCAGUUUUCCGGGAUGGAUAAUGGUAGAGAGAAGGUAGCAGUUUCGGCUGUGUUAUAGCUCUCUGCUGGAUACAUCUUGGGGGACUGAGGAACGCAGUGUGCCUUUGGCGGGGGUUUCGACCUCUUCACACUUAGGAUGCUGGUGGAAUGGCUUUAAACGAC
rnacentral:rRNA from 1 species